AGUGAACGCUGGCGGUAGGCCUAACACAUGCAAGUCGAACGGCAGCACAGUAAGAGCUUGCUCUUACGGGUGGCGAGUGGCGGACGGGUGAGGAAUACAUCGGAAUAUACUUUUUCGUGGGGGAUAACGUAGGGAAACUUACGCUAAUACAGCAUACGACCUACGUGUGAAAGCCCGGGAUCUUCUGACCUUUCGCGAUUGAAUGAGCCGAUGUUUGAUUAGCUAGUUGGCGGGGCAAAGGCCCACCAAGGCGACGAUCCGUAGCUGGUAUGAGAGGAUGAGCAGCUACAUUGGAAGAGAGAAACGGCCGAGACUCUGACAGGGGGAAGCAGUGGGGAAUAUUGCGCGAGGGGGCAGAGGGUGAUACAGCAAAAUCGCGUGGAGGCAGAAGGAGCUCGGGCGGGAAAGUGAUGAUGGUGGUAAAGAAGAAAAGCACGUUAAUCCGCGGUGGUAAUGACGGUACCGAAAGAAUAAGCACCGGCUAACUCCGUG
rnacentral:rRNA from 1 species